rnacentral:ncRNA from 2 species
GCCGGUAGUCAAGCUUCUGGUUCUGGCAAACGAUCGUUUGCCCGAUUAAAUGGGAAGCCGGUGCGCCCCCGAAAGGGGACAAAGCCGGCGCUGCCCCCGCAACGGUAAGCGAGUCAAGGAUGUGCAUCACGCCACUGUGCUUAGCAUGGGAAGGCGCAUAUCCGGGAAGAGGGCAGUUGCCCCGCCACUCGCCAGCCCGGAAACCAGCCGAAGCGGCAAGUCGUUU